rnacentral:SRP_RNA from 1 species
GCCAGGCACAGUGGCGCAUGCCUGUAGUCCCAGCUACUUGGGAGGCUGAGGUGGGAGGAUUGCUUGAGCCCAGGAGUUCUGGGCUGUAGUGCGCUAUGCCGAUCGGGUGUCUGCACUAAGUUCGGCUUCCAUAUGGUGACCUCUCAGGAGCGGGGGACCACCAGGUUGCCUAAGGAGGGGUGAACUGGUCCAGGUCGGAAACGUAACAGAUCAAAACUCCCGUGCUGAUCAGUAGUGGGAUCACGCCUGUGAAUAGCCACUGCACUCCAGCCUGGGUAAUGUAGCAAGACCCCAUCCCC